rnacentral:rRNA from 1 species
GACGGAGGAGGCAAGCGUUAUCCGGAAUUAUUGGGCGUAAAGGGUACGUAGGCGGCUGGUCAAGUCUGGGGUCAAAGGCCACAGCUCAACUGUGGAAAGGCCCUGGAAACUGACCGGCUAGAGUGAGGUAGGGGUUGCGGGAAUUCCCGGUGUAGUGGUGAAAUGCGUAGAGAUCGGGAAGAACACCUGAGGCGGAAGCGCGCAACUGGGCCUCAACUGACGCUGAGGUAAGAAAGCUAGGGGAGCGAAUGGG